CUAGACCUAUUUAAGAGCUGGCUACCAGUAGGGAAGGAUCUCUUCUGGGGAUCCCUCCUCUAGAGUUUUGCAGUGAGCUCAGGCUUACAAAUUAUAAUGAAAAAACUGCAACUGUUGUCCAGGGGCCAGCACUCUGUUGGCUGCCAGGGGUUGGUGUGAGGGCUAGUUGGAUGAAGGACAGCUGGAAAGUCAUAGAAAGAUACAGAAAAACUGAAGCUGUGCAUCAGAAAGCAAACAAGUGAAACAGCAACUAUAGUACAGUGUUGGUUUAUGUGGUAUGUGCUUUGAGAAACCACAUAAAAGCAAAGCAUCAUACAGAAGAAUGUGAAGGAAGACAAAAUAAAUUAUUCUGAAAUCACUGAGAAAGUGAAUUUUAAGGUGGAGAUUACUGAGAGAAAACACUGGGGUGGAAAUGGAAAAUAAAUAGGUCAAGAUUGACAUCACUUAGGGUGCGAAGGAAGGGCUUACAAAUCAACUGAAUAUUAAACAUUACACAGGGUAAGUCUCAGUCAUGAAGUACUUUUCCAGUGAAGACCAAUCAAGUUAUAUUGCUGUACAGCAUUAUGAAAGAAAGGCAGAGAUGCUGUGAUAAAAGUAGCAAACCAGGUCAAUUAUCUGCUUAACAUGCUUUGUAUUGGAUGGGGAAUACUCAUCACGAUCAAAACUGAGACCUUCUUAACUUGUUCACAAGUUGUUUUACAGUUAUAAAUGUGAAAAUAGAGAACCCAUGAGAAAGAAGGCUAGAAAUAAAAUAUUUCUACUUUAGGACCAAGCCACAGUAGCAUCUGAGAAGCUAGACACAUAUUGCAGAAACUCUUCCCUGUUUUCAGACUUGAUUAGAGACUGGUCUGUCAGGAAAAGGAGGAUUUCAGCUUUAAAAUGAGCCUUUGGAAACACUGCCCAAGUGUGAAUACUAAUCUUGCAUCCAGUGUACAACUUGACCAUGACAAAAGUAGGAGCCAAAGUAUUAAGUUGCUCUCCUUAAAUGUGUGAAGUCAUGGUGCAGAGAAACAAAACUGGAGUAAGCCUUGGUCUUUCAUAUCUCUCUGGACUUUUCUUACCAGCCCAGGAUCUUAAAAUCAUAGAAUCACAGAAACACAGAACAGUUUGGGUUGGAAUGGUCCUCAAGGAUCACAAAGUUCCACCUCCCAGCCACAGACAGCAUUGCCAGCUCUUAGAUCAAGUACUAGACCAGGCUGCCCAGGGCCCCAUCCAACCUGACCUUAAACACCUCCAGGGAUGGGGCAUCCACAACCUCUCUGGGCAGCCUGUUUCAGCACUUCACCAGUGUCGCAGUAAAAUGCUUUCCCCAACAUCUAAUAAAAAUGUUGUUCUUGUGCAAUUAUAAACAUAACAAAUACCCUUUUAAAAUGUAGAAACUAUGCAUUUUUGUUGUUUGUUUGUUGUUUUCCUUUUGUUGCUGUAACUGCUUUGAUAACACUGGCAUUUUUAGGGAGACUACAUAAUGUCCAGAAAGUUGAUUUGCCAUGAGGUCUAUUUUCUUUUACUCAUUGACCAGAUGUAGAGUGUUACAGGAAUAUUCAUCAAAAAUCAAGAUUGUAACUGAACACACAACUUAAUAAGAUGAAAGGCAAUGGAUGAGCCUGGAAAAACCAGCACAGUCUGAAUUCCCCUUUAGGGAACCUUGGACUCUUGUUCUGGGUAGCUGAACUGAGAAUGUGAUGCACUUUGCUGUAUGUCAUGC